UACGGGGGGAGCAAGCGUUGUUCGGAUUUACUGGGCGUAAAGGGCGCGUAGGCGGUCAGCACAAGUCAGUUGUGAAAUCUCCGGGCUUAACUCGGAAAGGUCAACUGAUACUGUGCGACUAGAGUGCAGAAGGGGCAACUGGAAUUCUCGGUGUAGCGGUGAAAUGCGUAGAUAUCGAGAGGAACACCUGCGGCGAAGGCGGGUUGCUGGGCCGAUACUGACGCUGAGGAGCGAAAGCGUGGGGAGCAAACAGG
rnacentral:rRNA from 1 species